rnacentral:rRNA from 1 species
AGUGGCGGACGGGUGAGUAACACGUAAGAACCUACCUUUUGGAGAGGGACAACCAUUGGAAACGAUGGCUAAUACCUCAUAAUACUGAGAAGUUAAAUGAUGAAUAAUCGCCAAGAGAUGGGCUUGCGGCUGAUUAGCUAGUUGGUGGGGUAAAGGCGUACCAAGGCAAUGAUCAGUAGCUGGUCUGAGAGGAUGAUCAGCCACACUGGGACUGAGACACGGCCCAGACUCCUACGGGAGGCAGCAGUGAGGAAUUUUCCGCAAUGGGCGAAAGCCUGACGGAGCAAUGCCGCGUGAAGGAUGAAGGCCUAUGGGUUGUAAACUUCUUUUCUCAGAGAAGAAUUUCUGACGGUAUCUGAGGAAUAAGCAUCGGCUAACUCUGUGCCAGCAGCCGCGGUAAGACAGAGGAUGCAAGCGUUAUCCGGAAUGAUUGGGCGUAAAGCGUCUGUAGGUGGCUUAAAAAGUCUCCUGUCAAAGAUCAGGGCUUAACCCUGGGCCGGCAGGAGAAACUCUUAGGCUAGAGUUUGGUAGGGGCAGAGGGAAUUCCCGGUGGAGCGGUGAAAUGCGUAGAGAUCGGGAGGAACACCAAAGGCGAAAGCACUCUGCUGGGCCACAACUGACACUGAGAGACGAAAGCGAGGGGAGCAAAAGGGAUUAGAUACCCCUGUAGUCCUCGCCGUAAACGAUGGAUACUAGAUGUU